GGCUCAGGACGAACGCUGGCGGUAUGCCUAAUACAUGCAAGUCGAACGCUGAAGCACUYUGCUUGCAGAGUGUGGAUGAGUGGCGAACGGGUGAGUAACACGUGGGGAACCUGCCCAUAAGAGGGGGAUAACAUCCGGAAACGGAUGCUAAUACCGCAUAGGUGAUCUUAGCGCAUGCUUUGAUCAUUAAAGAUGGCUUCGGCUAUCGCUUAUGGAUGGCCCCGCGGCGUAUUAGCUAGUUGGUAAGGUAAUGGCUUACCAAGGCAUUGAUACGUAGCCGACCUGAGAGGGUGAUCGGCCACACUGGGACUGAGACACGGCCCAGACUCCUACGGGAGGCAGCAGUAGGGAAUCUUCCACAAUGGGCGAAAGCCUGAUGGAGCAAUACCGCGUGAGUGAUGAAGGUUUUCGGAUCGUAAAGCUCUGUUGUUAGAGAAGAACAAGAGGUGUAGUAA
rnacentral:rRNA from 1 species